rnacentral:rRNA from 1 species
CAGUAGCCGCGGGAAUACGUAGGGUGCGAGCGUUAAUCGGAAUUACUGGGCGUAAAGCGUGCGCAGGCGGUUCGUUAAGACAGAUGUGAAAUCCCCGGGCUUAACCUGGGAACUGCAUUUGUGACUGGCGAGCUAGAGUAUGGCAGAGGGGGGUAGAAUUCCACGUGUAGCAGUGAAAUGCGUAGAGAUGUGGAGGAAUACCGAUGGCGAAGGCAGCCCCCUGGGCCAAUACUGACGCUCAUGCACGAAAGCGUGGGGAGCAAACAGAAUUAGAUACCCCCGUAGUCCCUGUCUCUUAUAC